rnacentral:rRNA from 1 species
GAUGAACGCUGGCGGCGUGCCUAAUACAUGCAAGUCGAGCGAACAGACGAGGAGCUUGCUCCUCUGACGUUAGCGGCGGACGGGUGAGUAACACGUGGAUAACCUACCUAUAAGACUGGGAUAACUUCGGGAAACCGGAGCUAAUACCGGAUAAUAUAUUGAACCGCAUGGUUCAAUAGUGAAAGACGGUUUUGCUGUCACUUAUAGAUGGAUCCGCGCCGCAUUAGCUAGUUGGUAAGGUAACGGCUUACCAAGGCAACGAUGCGUAGCCGACCUGAGAGGGGGAUGGCCCAAAGGGAAACUGAGACAGGCCAAAGAUCCACGGGGGGGCACGCAAUGGGAACUUCGCCGAAAGGGGGAAAACUUGGCGGGAGAAGCCGCGCGUGAGAAAGAAGGUUUUUGGGUGUAAAAAACUGUGUGUUUAGGAAAAAACAAAUGUGAAAGUAAAGAUCAACGUUUGACGGUAACUAAACAGAAAGGCACGGCUAACUACGGU